GAUUUGAUGUUUUGGAAACAUUGGAUUUUGAACGUCCUUAUAAGAUGUUCGAAUCAUCUUCAA
rnacentral:tRNA from 1 species